AAUCAGGCCUGUCAAUCAGAAGAGCAGAGCGUGCGAUGGUGGCGUUCUUCACUCCUGGAGCUCUGCACCUCCUCCGCUCCGUUCCGCUGCCGUCCACACCUCCCUCUUUCCACCAUACAGAGGAGUGUAUCCCCUCUUGGCAUUUCUCAGUUUGUACAUCUUCGAUUCCUUCCUCACCUCCUUUCCUCGUGUCUUAGUCGCUCUCAUCUGAGAUGUGAGGGAAGAAGACAAGAAUGAGACACAAGAGACAACAGGUUCUGAAAAGACUUCUGCAAAGGAUACUUCAAGAAUUCUGCUGUGCAUUCUCACUCAUAGCUACCGUGGCAAGCGUCCUCCCUCCUCAGGCUUCAGGAUGCAGUUUAAGAUUGGAGACAUCCUUCAAGACUGCACACUAAUUCUAAUUCAGGUUCACAUGUAGGAAGAUGGAGAAAAGAGAGAAUGAGGAGGCUCAACAUAUUAGAUGACUCUUAUCUUUACCUGGACAUGGUGACAUACUUUUCUCCUGCUGGCAAUUAUCUGACACAUCUGAAAUUCAUUUUACAAUCAACCUCUUAGUAUUUAAACCACAGCUGGUCCGUCUACCUUCUGCUAAAUGCUCUCUCUGUUGUAGUGUUGUAGUCUCACACAGCCUCUGCAUUUGUUCUUUGUUUUUAAGUGUCAUCGAAAGGUUCAGGUUCCGCUACCUCUAGUCAUUUGUUUGCCAGCUAGCCUUCUUCACCAGCAGUCUCUACCCCAUCAGCUUUCACGCUCAGGCCACCAGCAUCUACAAUGUCAGUCAUCCACCUAGUUACAUGUUACUGUUGCUAACUGUGUGUAGUGCUCAGCUUCUUGAUCCAAACCCCCCACCAAAAACAUCAUUAACAUAAAGCAGCACUGAUUAGGCAUAAUGAUUACAUCUAUUUUGCCAAAAUAUUAAAUGCUAAAAUGUUUGUUGAACCACAUUUUAUUGUACAAAUUUUUACCUCAGCUCUUGAGGAGAAGAAACUGAAAACACCACAACCACCACUGCACUGUUACUUUUCAAAAAGAGGAAAUCGUACCAACCAAAUUAUUCAGAUACACAAAUUGGUUCCUUCUCUAAAAAUGGGUACAAUUUUCUGUCACACUCAAUGCCAAGUUUCUUGUAAUUUAAGUGAGAACCAAAUGCUGUAACUGAUGACAGCAUCAGACAAACAGUCUGAAGUACAGGCGUUUCUAGCCCAUUUUGAAGGGUGCUCAAGCACCCCUAAAUUGAAUCCCAGCACCCCUAAAAUUUGAGAGAUUUUUUUUUGCAUUGCAUGUAAUUUUUAUUUAUCAAAGCUGAAAAGUGUAAAAACCAUACAGUACUUGGUUGAUAGGUAAUGUUUUAACAACAAAAAUACAGCAACCCCCCAGUUAGUCAGUGUCUGUUUGAACUAGACUGAAAGAAGCUCGCUGUUGUGUCAAGUGCAUGUGUUAAUAUUAAAGCCAAGGUGCUACUGACUAGCUAACUGACUGGAUGCCCAUUACAACUCCUGUUGUGUGUGUGUGUGUGUGUGUGUGUGUGUGUGUGUGUGUGUGUGUGUGUGUGUGUGUGUGUGUGUGUGUGUGUGUGUGUGUGUGUGUGUAGAGACAGACAGAUAGACAGACACUUAUCAUGGACAUAAGAUUCAUUUUAAAAAAAAAAGAGCCAGGUUCAGGUAGGAAAGUAAGAUCAAAUGGUUUAUCUAUCAAGAGUAAUGCUGUAAGUUGGAUCAAUGUAUACAUACAUUAUACAGCAUAUAAUACAUGCAUUGAAAAAGUCAAUUUCUGUUAAUCUGUUUUACAUGCUGUGCAUCACAUUUCAAAUAAAAGUCAAAAAAUAAA